rnacentral:rRNA from 1 species
UACAUGGGGUGCAAACGUUGCUCGGAAUUAUUGGGCGUAAAGCGCGCGUAGGCGGUUACUUAAGUCGGAUGUGAAAGCCCUCGGCUUAACUGAGGAAGUGCACCCGAAACUGAGUAGCUAGAGUACGAAAGAGGGUCGCGGAAUUCCCGGUGUAGAGGUGAAAUUCGUAGAUAUCGGGAGGAACACCGGUGGCGAAGGCGGCGACCUGGGUCGACACUGACGCUGAGGCGCGAGAGCGUGGGGAGCAAACAGG